rnacentral:rRNA from 1 species
UACGGAGGGUGCAAGCGUUAAUCGGAAUUACUGGGCGUAAAGCGCACGCAGGCGGUUUGUUAAGUCAGAUGUGAAAUCCCCGGGCUCAACCUGGGAACGGCAUUUGAAACUGGCAAGCUAGAGUCUCGUAGAGGGGGGUAGAAUUCCAGGUGUAGCGGUGAAAUGCGUAGAGAUCUGGAGGAAUACCGGUGGCGAAGACGGCCACCUGGACGAAGACUGACGCUCAGGUGCGAAAGCGUGGGGAGCGAAAAGG